rnacentral:rRNA from 1 species
AUUGAACGCUGGCGGCAGGCUUAACACAUGCAAGUCGAGCGAGCGGCGGACGGGUGAGUAAUGUCUGGGAAACUGCCUGAUGGAGGGGGAUAACUACUGUAAACGGUAGCUACUACCGCAUACCAUCAGAUGUGCCCAGAUGGGAUUAGCUAGUAGGUGGGUUAAUGGCUCACCUAGGCGACGAUCCCUAGCUGGUCUGAGAGGAUGACCAGCCACACUGGAACUUAGACACGGUCCAGACUCCUACGGGAGGCAGCAGUGGGGAAUCUUGAACAAUGGGCGAAAGCCUGACGCAGCCAUGCCGCGUGUGUGAAGAAGGCCUUCGGGUUGUAAAGCACUUUCAGCGAGGAGGCGGUACUCGAAGAAGAAGCAACGGCUAACUCCGUGCCAGCCGCCGCGGUAAUAC